rnacentral:rRNA from 1 species
UACGUAGGGUCCGAGCGUUGUCCGGAAUUACUGGGCGUAAAGAGCUCGUAGGUGGUUUGUCACGUUGUUCGUGAAAACCACAGCUCAACUGUGGGCGUGCGAGCGAUACGGGCAGACUAGAGUACUGCAGGGAGACUGGAAGUUCCUGGUGUAGCGGUGAAAUGACGCAGAUAUCAGGAGGAACACCGGUGGCGAAGGCGGGUCUCUGGGCAAUAACUGACGCUGAGGAGCGAAAGCGUGGGGAGCGAACAGG